rnacentral:rRNA from 1 species
UCUUCGGCAAUGGACGAAAGUCUGACCGAGCAACGCCGCGUGAGUGAAGAAGGUUUUCGGAUCGUAAAACUCUGUUGUUAGAGAAGAAUGUUGAUUAGAGUGGAAAAUUAAUCAAGUGACGGUAUCUAACCAGAAAGGGACGGCUAACUACGUGCCAUCAGCCGCGGGAAUACGUAGGUCCCGAGCGUUGUCCGGAUUUAUUGGGCGUAAAGCGAGCGCAGGUGGUUUCAUAAGUCUGAUUUAAAAGGCAGUGGCUCAACCAUUGUGUGCAUUGGAAACUGUUAGACUUGAGGGCAGUAGAGGAGAGUGGAAUUACAUGUGUAGCGGUGAAAUGCGUAGAUAUAUGGAGGAACGCCGGUGGCGAAAGCGGCUCUCUGGACUGUCACUGACACUGAGGCUCGAAAGCGUGGGUAGCAAACAGG